UGGGGAAUAUUGGACAAUGGGCGAAAGCCUGAUCCAGCCAUGCCGCGUGUGUGAAGAAGGUCUUCGGAUUGUAAAGCACUUUAAGUUGGGAGGAAGGGCAGUAAGCGAAUACCUUGCUGUUUUGACGUUACCGACAGAAUAAGCACCGGCUAACUCUGUGCCAGCAGCCGCGGUAAUACAGAGGGUGCAAGCGUUAAUCGGAAUUACUGGGCGUAAAGCGCGCGCAGGUGGUUCGUUAAGUUGAAUGUGAAAGCCCCGGGCUCAACCUGGGAACUGCAUCCAAAACUGGCGAGCUAGAGUAGGGCAGAGGGUGGUGGAAUUUCCUGUGUAGCGGUGAAAUGCGUAGAUAUAGGAAGGAACACCAGUGGCGAAGGCGACCACCUGGGCUCAUACUGACACUAAGGUGCGAAAGCGUGAGGAGCAAACAGG
rnacentral:rRNA from 1 species